AAUAUUGGACAAUGGCCGCAAGGCUGAUCCAGCCAUGCCGCGUGAAGGAAGACUGUCCUAUGGACUGUAAACUUCUUUUAUAUGGGAAGAAGCGCCUGGAUUUAUCCGGGUUUGACGGUACCAUACGAAUAAGCACCGGCUAACUCCGUGCCAGCAGCCGCGGUAAUACGGAGGGUGCAAGCGUUAUCCGGAAUUACUGGGUUUAAAGGGUGCGUAGGCGGAUAUAUAAGUCAGUUGUGAAAGGUCUGAGCUAAACUGAGGAAUUGCAAUUGAAACUGUAUAUCUUGAAUGGGGCUGAGGUUAGCGGAAUGAGUCAUGUAGCGGUGAAAUGCAUAGAUAUGACUUAGAACACCGAUUGCGAAGGCAGCUAACUAGACCUCUAUUGACGCUGAGGCACGAAAGCGUGGGUAGCGAACAGGAUUAGAUACCCUGGUAGUCCACGCCCUA
rnacentral:rRNA from 1 species